rfam:Buceros rhinoceros silvestris contig43535, whole genome shotgun sequence.
UGGUCAUUACCAAGGCUGCUAGGAUGUUGUUCCUGGUGAGUUGUGGAGAUGACCGUAAAACAAGUCCAUCAGACUCUUGAAUUGCUGCAUGAUGCAGCACUAAGUCUGCUGGGAAUAAAG